GACGGUACCCUCUGAAUAAGUGACAGCAAACUAUGUGCCAGCAGCUGCGGUAAUACAUAGGUCGCGAGCGUUAUUCGGUUUUAUUGGGCGUAAAGCAAGCGCAGGCGGAUGAACAAGUUCUGUGUUAAAAGCAGCUGCUCAACAGUUGUUUGCACCGAAUACUGUUCGUCUAGAAUGUGGUAGGAAGUUUUGGAAUUAAAUAUGGAGCGGUGGAAUGUGUAGAUAUAUUUAAGAACACCAGAGGCGAAGGCGAAAACUUAGGCCAUCAUUGACGCUUAGGCUUGAAAGUGUGGGUAGCAAAUGGGAUUAGAUACCCCAGUAGUCCACACCGUAAACGAUGGGUAUUGGAUGUCGGGCUUUGUGGCUCGGUGUUGUAGCUUACGUGUUAAAUACCCCGCCUGGGUAGUAUAUAUGCAAAUAUGAAACUCAAAGGAAUUGACGGGGACCUGAACAAGUGGUGGAACAUGUUGCUUAAUUCGAUAAUACACGAAAAACCUUACCAGGGUUUGACAUCCCUUGCGAAACCGUGGAAACACGGCGGAGGUUAUCAAGGUGACAGGUGGUGCAUGGUUGUCGUCAGCUCGUGUCAUGAGAUGUUUGGUUAAGUCCCGCAACGAGCGCAACCCUACCCCUUAGUUGUUUGUCUAAGGAGACUGCACAGUAAUGUAGAGGAAGGAUGGGAUCACGUCAAAUCAUCAUGCCCCUUAUGCCCUGGGCUGCAAACGUGUUACAAUGGUAGAUACAAUAUGUCUGCAAACCAGCGAUGGUAAGCUAAUCAUCAAAAUCUAUCUC
rnacentral:rRNA from 1 species